CCGGCGACCGGCGCACGGGUGAGUAACACGUAUGCAACCUGGCCGUGACAGAUGGAUAACCGGGAGAAAUCCCGCCUAAUACAACAUAAUGCCGGGAGGGGACAUCCCCUGCCGGCCAAAGGGGGCGACCCCGGUCACGGAUGGGCAUGCGGCGCAUUAGGUAGUUGGUGGGGCAACGGCCCACCAAGCCGACGAUGCGUAGGGGUUCUGAGAGGAAGGUCCCCCACAUUGGAACUGAGACACGGUCCAAACUCCUACGGAAGGCAGCAG
rnacentral:rRNA from 1 species